rnacentral:sRNA from 1 species
GUUUCCCAUAGACCCUACUGAGCAGUGUCAACUUCCCACUGACCACCCCGCUUCACCUCCCAGGGAUCCUGGAGUUCUUCCACCACCAGCUGAAGGACAUCAUUGAGUACGCAGAGCUCAAAACAGACGUGUUCCAGAGCCUGAGGGAAGUGGGCAAUGCCAUCCUCUUCUGCCUCCUCAUAGAGCAAGCUCUGUCUCAGGAGGAGGUCUGCGAUUUGCUCCAUGCCGCACCCUUCCAAAACAUCUUGCCUAGAGUCUACAUCAAAGAGGGGGAGCGCCUGGAGGUCCGGAUGAAACGUCUGGAAGCCAAGUAUGCCCCGCUCCACCUGGUCCCUCUGAUCGAGCGGCUGGGGACCCCUCAGGUACCAAUCUUAUAUAAUAAAUGGGCUCUGAUCACUGACAGGAACUUGAGAGCAUUUGACCAAACCCCCUCGUUGUACAGGUCAGAAAACUGAGGCUCAGAGAAGGGAAGACAAUGUCGAAUACCCAAAAACUGGUUAAUAUUAAUAGCAACAGCAGGUCUGGAAUGAGAUUUGCUGACUCUCAGGCCUGAGUGUUUCUUCUGUAGCCUGUAUCAUGUAUC